rnacentral:piRNA from 1 species
UUGAAGCAAGGGUCCCGUCAG